rnacentral:rRNA from 1 species
UACGAAGGGGGCUAGCGUUGCUCGGAAUCACUGGGCGUAAAGCGCACGUAGGCGGCUUUUUAAGUCAGGGGUGAAAUCCUGGAGCUCAACUCCAGAACUGCCUUUGAUACUGGGAGGCUUGAGUCCGGGAGAGGUGAGUGGAACUCCGAGUGUAGAGGUGAAAUUCGUAGAUAUUGGGAAGAACACCGGUGGCGAAGGCGGCGCUCUGGACCGAGACUGACGCUGAGGCGGACGAAGGCGUGGGGGAGCAAACAGGG